GUGAGCUGGCGGACGGCUUCGGACCGCACGGGUCUGAGGAAACUCCGCCCUACACCGCAGCCUUGCAACGCCUGCAAAGGCGUAGGGCGAGAGCCCUGGCAACAGAGCAGAAACGGAACGUCCACGAGACGCGUGGCGAGGAGGCAUGCUAAGUUGCCGAGGACGUCUCGUGGAAGCGUUGAAACGGCUGUCCUGCAAGGUAGAAAGGGCAAAUAGGCGUCGAUGACGAGCUGCGGGGAGACGCGGGUAGCCCGAUUAGAUGAAUGCCGUCUCUGAACAGAAGGCGGGUUACGACCAGCACAC
rnacentral:RNase_P_RNA from 1 species